GACGAACGCUGGCGGCGUGCUUAACACAUGCAAGUCGAACGGAAAGGCCCUGCUUUUGUGGGGUGCUCGAGUGGCGAACGGGUGAGUAACACGUGAGUAACCUGCCCUUGACUUUGGGAUAACUUCAGGAAACUGGGGCUAAUACCGGAUAGGAGCUCCUGCUGCAUGGUGGGGGUUGGAAAGUUUCGGCGGGUGGGGAUGGACUCGCGGCUGAUCAGCUUGUUGGUGGGGUAGUGGCUUACCAAGGCUUUGACGGGUAGCCGGCCUGGGAGGGUGACCGGCCACCUUGGGACUGCGAUACGGCCCAGACUCCUACGGGAGGCAGCAGUGGGGAAUAUUGCACAAUGGGCGGAAGCCUGAUGCAGCAACGCCGCGUGCGGGAUGACGGCCUUCGGGUUGUAAACCGCUUUCGCCUGUGACGAAGCGUGAGUGACGGUAAUGGGUAAAGAAGCACCGGCUAACUACGUG
rnacentral:rRNA from 1 species